CAUGCAAGUCGAGGGGCAGCGCAGGGAGUGGCAACACUUCUGUCGGCGACCGGCGCACGGGUGAGUAACGCGUAUGCAACCUGCCCUUCACAGGGGGAUAACCGGGAGAAAUUCCGACUAAUACCGCAUACGUCCUCCGGGGGCAUCCCCGGGGGAUGAAAGAAUUAUCGGUGAAGGAUGGGCAUGCGUGAUAUUAGGUAGUUGGCGGGGCAACGGCCCACCAAGCCCACGAUAUCUAGGGGUUCUGAGAGGAAGGUCCCCCACAUUGGUACUGAGACACGGACCAAACUCCUACGGGAGGCAGCAGUGAGGAAUAUUGGUCAAUGGACGAGAGUCUGAACCAGCCAAGUCGCGUGAAGGAAGACGGAUCUAUGGUUUGUAAACUUCUUUAGUGCGGGAACAAAGCGGCGUCGUGACGCCUGAUGAGUGUACCGCAAGAAUAAGCAUCGGCUAACUCCGUGCCAGCAGCCGCGGUAAUACGGAGGAUGCGAGCGUUAUCCGGAUUUAUUGGGUUUAAAGGGAGCGCAGGCUGCGAGGCAAGUCAGCGGUCAAAUGUCGGGGCUCAACCCCGGCCUGCCGUUGAAACUGUCCUGCUAGAGUUCGAGUGAGGUAUGCGGAAUGCGUUGUGUAGCGGUGAAAUGCAUAGAUAUGACGCAGAACUCCGAUUGCGAAGGCAGCAUACCAACUCGCGACUGACGCUGAGGCUCGAAAGCGUGGGUAUCGAACAGGAUUAGAUACCCUGGUAGUCCACGCAGUAAACGAUGAAUACUAACUGUUCGGAGGGCGACCUCUGAGUGGUAAAGCGAAAGCGUUAAGUAUUCCACCUGGGGAGUACGCCGGCAACGGUGAAACUCAAAGGAAUUGACGGGGGCCCG
rnacentral:rRNA from 1 species